GGGCGGGACCUCCGGGUUCCCGCGCGCAGGCCGCAGCGGCCCCUGGUCUCCUUCUGGGCCCCACGCCAUUUCCGCUACUCUAGGCCGAGCGGGACCCACAGGUCUCGUCCUGCCCCUGGGCCGCGCGGAGCUGACCGCCUGGCGGGAUGUGGCCGUCCCCGGGGACGUGCUGGCUGCUCUUCUGGCUGCCGCCGCUGGCCGUGCUGCCGGCGGACGCGGUGCGCGGCGAGGAGGACGAGGCGGCGUUGUCAGUUGCAAGAUGUAAAGCUUUGAAGGAAAUGGAUUUAAUUAAAACGUCUCAGUCAGACUGUUACUGCUACAAUCAAAAAUCCCAAGUGAAAUGGAAGUAUAUAUGGUCAACUGUGCAGGUGAAAAUUACCAGUUCAGGCCUGCUCAGUAUUGUAUAUAUCACAGAAAGAUAUAAUUGCCAGUAUCCAGAAACCAUUCUGUCUAUUAUCAAAUGUGUGAUUCAUAACCUUUGGACACCAAAGGAGUCUAAUGAUAUAACCAUAACCAUCAAUCCAUAUCGGGAGACUGUGUGCUUCUCUGUGAAGCCUGCCAGGAAGAUAUUUAUCUAUACCGUAAGAGUGAAUCGAAACAUUGUGGAUUUUAAACUCUUCCUUGUGUUUGUGGCGGGCAUUUUCCUCUUCUUUUAUGCAAAGACCUUGAGUCACCUGAAGAGUAAAGCUUGGACUCAGAGGAGAUGGGCUGCAGGCCUGAAUCCUCCAACUGGCAGGAGCCCUGUUUUCUUUUACUCUUCAGGGACUGUGCUAGGUAUUCUAAUGACAUUAGUCUUUGUCCUGUUGCUGGUGAAAAAGUUCAUUCCUAAGUAUAGCACGUUUUGGGCUCUAAUGGUUGGUUGUUGGUUUGCUUCAGUUUAUAUUGUGUGGCAACUGAUGGAAGAGCUGAAGUGGCUGUGGUGUGAAAACAGAAUAUAUAUAUUAGGCUACGUCUUGAUAGUUGGGUGUCUUAGCUUUACUGUUUGUUACAAGCACGGGCCCCUCGUGGAGGAGAGGAGCGUGACCCUCUUGGCGUGGGCACUGCAGCUCGUCUCCCUGCUCCUGGUCUAUGCUGGCAUGGCCAUUCCUCAGUUCGCCUAUGCAGUGAUGCUCCUCACCCUGUCGUCCAAGAUCCUGCACUACCCACUGAGAGCACUCGCUUACGUGAGAUGGAAAAUGAAGAAAUGGUUUACAUCAGAAAAGCCGGUGGUUAAGUUUCUUACUGAAGACGAGUACAGGGAACAAGCCGAUGCUGCGACGACCCGCGCCCUGGAGGACCUGCGCCAGGCCUGCCGCAGCCCCGGCUUCCCAUCCUGGCUGGCCGUCUCCAGGCUCCGGGCGCCUAAAACGUUUGCAGACUUUGUUCUUGGAGGAAGCCACUUGUCGCCUGAAGAAAUUAGGCUGCAUGAAGAACAAUAUGGCCUUGCGGGUGCCUUCUUGGAGGAGCAGCUCUUUAACCUGAGGACUCCUGACAGUCUGCCUGCACACUGACUUCAUUCUGGACAAGGAAGUGGGGAAGGGCAGGGAUCCUAUUAAAGGUGGGCAGAACUGUACCGGGGAACAGUGGCAAAAGCAUUCACUAUGGAGAAAAAUCAAGUCACGCUGGAAAGGAAAACUAAACUGUAUUGAAGAUAACUGAUCCUUCCUGGACAGUUCUGUGUAUUGUACUGUAGGUGGCCACCAAGAUUCUGCGACAGUCAUUACCACUGUCCUUGAAUGAAGACUCUCAUUAGGAACAAAGGGAUCAUGUUGAUCUUCAGGGGGCCAGUUAAUUUGAAUAGGUGCCUUGUCAACUGCAGGGCAUUAAAUCCUCUCUUAAUCCCCAGAACCUGUGUCAAAAGACUCUGCAUUGCUCUUCCUGCGUGUUAUCAAUGUAAGUGCUGGAAGAGACCUGAGAUACACUGGACCAGUAUUUUCCAAAGUGUAGUCCACAGGAUGCUAAUAAGUGUUAGUAGGUGAAGGAAUCCUGAGGUCAACUAAGAUGGAUGCAUGAUUAAACGUACUGCAGGACUUCUCAGAGCCUUUAAUAAUGCUAAUGCACACUGUGAACUUCCUAAAGAGGAGAAAUUGUGUGCAGCAUUCUCCAGCUUAAUUUGACAACAGAACCCUUUUUCAUGAGAUUAAUAUUUCUUGGAACACAUGUUUGGAAAAUGCUGAUGGUGGAGGAAUGGAGGUUUCAGAAGGUUAAAUAACUUGUCCAAGACCACAGGGCUUUUUAGAGGCAGCCCUGGGACUAAAACUCCAUCCCUGCUGUUUCCAGUGACUCAGGUAGAAGAAGAGACCUUUAGAAAUGAGGUGCCAUCUUGCCACAGCCUUGGGUCUCACAGUAUUGGUGUGAGGGGCCAUCUCUCCAUAGCCUUGGGUCUCACAAUAUUCAUGACUUAUUUUUUAUUUUUUAAUAAUAGCCAACUAACUGUUUGAUAACUGUGAUAAAGAGAAACAUUUCCUAUGGUUAUAUUUUAAAGUUUUGAUAAGACUUUUAUAGACAUAUAUAAAGAUUAGAAUUUAGAAUUACUUUUUACAUUUUUUUGUAUGUUGAAAUUGAAGGCAUUUAACCUCAAGUCGACUGGCCUAUUUUAUUUUAUUUUAUUUUUACUCCCUAAAUUCAGGUCUCAAUAGUGUUCACACCUGAAUUUCUACAACAAUUCUGGUUUGUUUUUUUUUUUUUGGCUGCAUUGGGUCUUUCAUUGCUACACGUGGGCUUUCUCUAGUUGCGGCAAGCAAGGGCUACUCUUCGUUGCAGUGCAUGGGCUUCUCAUUGCAGUGGCUUCUCUUGUUGCAGAGCACGGGCUCUAGGCUCGUGGGCUUCAGUAGUUGUGGCACGCAGGCUCAGUAGUUGUGGCUCGCGGGUUCUAGAGCACAGGCUCAGUAGUUGUGGCGAACGGGCUUAGUUGCUCCGCGGCAUGUGGGAUCUUCCGGGAUCAGGGCUCGAACUCAUGUCCCCUACAUUGGCAGGCGGAUUCUUAACCACUGCACCACCAGGGAAGCCCCUCGACUGGCCUAUUUUAAAAAAUUGUUUAGUUAUACGUGUUUAUAACAAUUUCCUACAAAACAGAUUUGUGAUCUUUCUUAUAGAGAACAAAUCAUUUUUCUUCUUGUGCUUCAUGAUUUUAGACUCCAGAGUGAAAUGAGGGACUAACCAUGAGCUUUGACCCUGAGGAAAAGAGGCCAAAACAUAGGUCUGGGAAAAGAUCUGAACAUGGCAAAACAAUCCAAGGGUUAAGAUGUUGCUAACUUCUCUUUAAGAAUCAAACGCAGGCUCUUUUGCUGUGGUGGGGCCAUAAAGAGUAGCAGCAUAAAGAAUGAGGAAUCUCCCUUUUCUAGAAGGGUUAUGGAGGAGGGACACACAGAUCAUUUGGGCACUGCUUUCUGGAACCAAAUUUAGUAUAGCGUUUUUCUAAAUUGUUCAAUAAGAGUGUGGCUGCCUGUUUGGAAUUCUUUAGAUUGAUUUCCAAAUGAUAUUUCCUCUUUGAAGCAGUGUGUCAGUGUUUUACGGGUCUCUAUUUUUGCCAGACACCUUUUAAUAUCAGGAGCUUUGCUAUUUUUGUGAUAUACACUAAAUUUAAUCUGUGCUUUCACAUAGACUUUGAUAUAAAAAAUCAAAGUAUCUUCCAUUCAGAUUUAUGAAGAUCAUGACUUUUAUAAGUGUAAACAGUUGUAAUAGCGUUUUUGUUACAGUUUAAUCUGAUUUUUAUUGUUUUGUAAUUCUGUUUAUUGGUGCUAUAUUAUAAACGUAUCACAUGUGUUUGUGGUUGUGCUCACCAAGAGACGGUGUGUGUCCUACAUAAUGUGUGUGUGCAUAAAGUGUGCAGUCUGCUGGAGUUCCCAGGGGACAUCCCAGCCAAGACAGCCACUGGGCCUCACCUGCGCCAGGGUGAACAGGUGCCGACAGUAGAAGAAAGCAGCUCCUGGUGGGCCAACAAGCUAGGUGUAGCUAUUUUUAUUGUGAUCUUUAUUGCAAUAAAAAUAGCUAAAGGAAGAGAAAAAGAGCAACAAGAGGCUUUGGGGAUACUGUUUUUCAUUUUUACUUUUAGAGGAAACCAUGGAUUUGUCAGUUUCUACUAUGUGAGUACUGUGAGAAGCUAGAUAAUUAAAAGCACUGCUUGCGAUAUAUUGGGCGUAUUUCUGUUGUGUUUAUUUGAAUUGGGGUUUGUUAUAGUGCUGAUCAUAGAUCUAGUCCCCAUCAAGCAGUAUGUUUGUCAGCUCCUCUAAGAGAUCUUUUUUCUCUCCUUCCCUUCUUCCCUUCUCCUGUCUGUCUAUCCGUCUGUCUCUCUCUCCCCACCACCCUACUCCCUCUCUCCUCUUUUUCUUCAUUUAUUUAAAGGCCUUUAAACAAUUUAAAUGACCAUUCAGUAAAAUGGUUAUGCCCUUCACAGGUUGUUGACAGUUGGUUCUGUGCCUCAUGCCACCCUAGGUGUGCAGUUGUGGAGCACAACAGAACCUUUGUUGUGUUAGUGCGCCCACGAGGUGCCUCACAGAAGCUCACUGUUAGCAAGUUGGACUCUUUGACCCCAAAACAUAUGAGUGAGAUGUAGUGUAGGUCGCCAUGCUUAAACAGUCAUAUUCAAUGUUAUUUUUUAAAGGUUUUUAAAAAAUAUUUAUUAUUUUUGGCCACGUCGGGUCUUACUUGUGGCACGCGGGAUCUUUCAUUGCAGCGCACCGGCUUCUCUCUAGUUGUGGCGUGCAGGCUUAGUUGCCCCGUAUCAUGUGGGAUCUUAGUUCCACAACCAGGGAUCGAACCCACGUCCCCUGCGUUGGAAGGCAGAUUCUUAACCAGUGGACCACCAGGGAAGUCCCUAUUUUUUGAAGGUUUUAAAACACAUUUUACAUAUCACAAAAAAUGUUUUGUCAAUUAGUUGUAUAGUUUGCCAAUAAUACUUAGAGCUGAAUUACAGGGGAGUGUCCAUCUGACAUUUAGGACAAUACUUGAAUUUAUGACUUUUUAAAUCUAGAAAUUUAUGAGAUUUUAGAUAUUAAGAGAUUUGGAAUAGCUGACAUCGAAACAUGUGGAAGAAUUAAGACCUCCAGAAUGAUGUCAAGAAAAGAAAAAGGAUCUUAUAUUAUUCUGUAUGUGAUUAUUCCCCAGAGUUAGAGAAGUACAAUAUUUUAAUCACCUUUUUCUUUUGUCCGACUGAAAGAAGGAUCCUAUGCAUAGAUAGCAUAAUAGAUGUGGAAUUCUGAAGAUCCCCCACAGUGAGACAGGUAUUUUUAUCUGACCUGGGAGCCAGCUGUUUUCUGUAUAUUUUGGAUAUUAACCCCUUGUUGGUCGCAUCAUUUGCAAAUAUUUUCUCCCAUUCCAUUUUUUUUUCCCCCAUAGGUUGUCUUUUCCUUUUGUUGAUGGUUUCUUUGCUGUGCAAAACCUUUUAAGUUUGAUCAGGUCCCGUUAGUUUACUUUUGCUUUUAUUUUUUUUGCCUUGGGAGACUGAUCCAAGAAAAUAUUACUAUGAUUUAUGACAAAGUGUUUCACCUGUGUUCUUGGAGUUUUAUGAUUUCAUGUCUUACAUUUAGGUGUUUUAGCCAUUUUGAGUUUAUUUUUGUAUAUGGUGUGUGGCAGUGUUCUAAUAUAAUUGUUUUGCAUGUGGCUGUCCAGCUUUCCCAGCACUAUUUGUUGGAGAGACUGUCUUUUCUCCACUGUAUAUUCUUGCCUCCUUUGUCACAGAUUAAUUGACCAUAGGUGUGUGGGUUUAUUUCUGGGUUCUUUACUCUGUUCUGUUGAUCUACGUGUUUGUUUUUGUGCCAAUACCAUGCUGUUUUGAUUACUGUAGCUUUGUAGUGUAGUCUGAAGUCUGGGAGGGUUACACCUCCAGCAUUGUUCUUAGUUCUCAGGAUUGCUUUGGCAAUUUGGGGUCUUUUGUGGUUCCAUAUAAAUUUUUGGAUUAUUUGUUCUAGUUCUGUGGAAAAUGUCCUGGUGUUUUGAUAGGGAUUGCAUUAAGUCAGUAGAUUGCUUUGGGUAGUAUGGCCAUUUUAAUAAUAAUGAUUCUUCCAAUCUAAAAGCAUGCGAUAUCUUUCCAUUUCUUUGAAUCUUCAUUUUCCUUCAUCAGUAUUUUACAGUUUUCAGCAUAUAGGUCUUUCACCUCCUUGGUUAAGUUUAUUCCUAGAUAUUUUAUUCUUUUUGAUGUGAUUUUAAAUGGGAUUGUUUUCUCACUUUCUUUUUCUGAUAUUUCAUUAUUAGUGUAUAGAAAUAUUUUGCAUUUUGUGUAUAUUCAUCUUGUAUCCUGCAACCUUGCUGAAUUCAUUUAUUAGUUUUAAUAGUUUUGGGGUGGAGACUCUAGGGUUCCCUGUAUAGAAUAUCAUGUCAUGGGCAAAUGUUACAGUUUCACCUCUUCUCUUCUAAUUUGGAUACCUUUUAUUUUUCUUGUCUGAUUGCUGUGUCUGGGACUUCCAAUACUAUGAGAGUACACAUCCUUGUCUUGUUCCUGAAUUUAGUAGGAAGCUUUCAGCUUUUCACCAUUGGGUAUUGUGUUGGCUGUGGGUUUGUAGUAAAUGGCCUUUAUUAUGUUGAGAUAUGUUCCCUUCUCUAUCCACUGAUGAGAGUUUUGGUUUUUUGGGGUUUUUUUCCCCCUCAGCAACAGAAGAUCCUUUACUGAAUCCUGAGUGUGAAAAUCUACCAUUUAGUUCUUUCUCCCUUCUCCCUGUGAGAUUCAAUAAUCCCUUGAUUUGCAUGGAACAUUGGUGUGUCUGCUUGUUCUUGCUGUUGUGUCCAUUUUGUUGUUCUGAUGAGAGUUUUAUCAUGAAUGGAUGUUGAAUUUUGUCAAAUGCUUUUUGUGCAUGUAUUGAGAUGAUCAUGUGGUUUUUGUCUUUCCUUUGUUAAUGUGGUGUAUCAUGUUGAUUGAUUUGUGUGUGUUGAACCAUCCUUGUGACCCAGGAAUAAAUUCAACUUGAUCAUGCUAUAUGAUCCUUUCAAUGCAUUCAGUUGGAUUCAGUUUGCUAAUAUUUUUUUUAACAUCUUUAUUGGAGUAUAAUUGCUUUAUAAUGGUGUGUUAGUUUCUGCCUUAUAACAAAGUGAAUCAGUUAUACAUAUACAUAUUUCCCCAUAUCUCUUCCCUCUUGCAUCUCCCUAUCCCACCACUCUAUGUGGUCACAAAGUACUGAGCUGAUCUCCCUGUGCUAUGCGGCUGCUUCCCACUAGCUAUCUGUUUUACGUUUGGUAGUGUAUAUGUGUCCAUGCCACUCUCUCACUUUGUCAUAGCUUACCCUUCCCCCUCCCCGUAUCCUCAAGUUCAUUCUCUAGUAGGUCUGCAUCUUUAUUCCUGUCUUGUCCCUAGGUUCUUCAUGACCAAUUUUUUUUUCUUUUUUUUUUAGAUUCCAUAUAUAUGUGUUAGCAUAUAGUAUUUGUUUUUCUCUUUCUGACUUACUUCACUCUGUAUGACAGUCUCUAGGUCCAUCCACCUCACUACAAAUAACUCAGUUUCGUUCCUUUUUAUGGCUGAGUAAUAUUCCUCUGUAUAUAUGUACCAUAUCUUCUUUAUCCAUUCAUCUGUCGAUGGACACUUAGGUUGCUUCCAUGUCCUGGCUAUUGUAAAUAGAGCUGCAAUGAACAUUUUGGUACAUGACUCUUUUUGAAUUAUGGUUUUCUCAGGGUAUUUGCCCAGUAGUGGGAUUGCUGGGUUGUAUGAUAGUUCUAUUUUUAGUUUUUUAAGGAACCUCCAUACUGUUCUCCGUAGUGGCUCUAUCAAUUUACAUUCCCACCAACAGUGCAAGAGGGUUCCUUUUCUCCACACCCUCUCCAGCAUGUAUUGUUUGUAGAUUUUUUGAUGAUGGCCAUUCUGACUGGUGUGAGAUGAUAUCUCAUUGUAGUUUUGAUUUGCAUUUCUCUAAUGAUUAAUGAUGUUGAACAUUCUUUCAUGUGUUUGUUGGCAAUCUGUGCAUCUUCUUUGGAGAAAUGUCUAUUUAGGUCUUCUGCCCUUUUUGGAUUGGGUUGUUUGUUUUUUUGAUAUUGAGCUGCAUGAGCUGCUUGUAAAUUUUGGAGAUUAAUCCUUUGUCAGUUGCUUCAUUUGCAAAUAUUUUCUCCAUAUCUGAGGGUUGUCUUUUGGUCUUGUUUAUGGUUUCCUUUGCUGUGCAAAAGCUUUGAAGUUUCAUUAGGUCCCAUUUGUUUAUUUUUGUUUUUAUUUCCAUUUCUCUAGGAGGUGGGUCAGAAAGGAUCUUGCUGUGAUUUAUAUCAUAGAGUGUUCUACCUAUGUUUUCCUCUAAGAGUUUGAUAGUGUCUGCCCUUAUAUUUAGGUCUUUAAUCCAUUUUGAGUUUAUCUUUGUGUAUGGUGUUAGGGAGUGUUCUAAUUUCAUUCUUUUCCAUGUAGCUGUCCAGUUUUCCCAGCACCACUUAUUGAAGAGGCUGUCUUUUCUUCACGGUAUAUUCUUGCCUCCUUUAUCAAAGAUAAGGUGACCGACCAUAUGUGUGUGGGUUUAUCUCUGGGCUUUCCAUCCUGUUCCACUGAAGUUUGCUAAUAUUCUGCUGAGGAUUUUUGCAUCUGUAUUCAUCAGAGAUAUUGGCUUCUGAUUUUCUUUUUUUGUAGUGUCUUUGUCUGGUUUUGGUGUCAGGGUAAUGGUGGCCUUGUAGAAUGAAUUUGGGAGUGUUCCUUUCUCUUCAGUUUUUUUGGAAUAGUUUGAGAAGGAUAGGUAUAAAUUCUUCUUUAUAUGCUUGGUAGAAUUCCCCAGUGAAGCCGUCUGGUCCUGGACUUUUAUUUGCAGGGAGUUUUUAUCAUUACAGAUUCUAUUUCACUUCUAGUGAUUGGUCUGUUCAAAUUGUUUCUUUCUUUGUGACUCAGUCUUGGCAGGCUGAAUAUUUCUAGAAAUUUGUCCAUUUCUUCUGGGUUGUCCAAUUUGUUGCCAUAUAACAUUACUUGUCAUUUUUCCCCCUUCUCUUCAACUUAUGCUUUGAUUAAUUUUGUCCCUUAACUAAUUCAUAUUUCCAACCACUUAAUGUUUACAAUGCACGUUGGAACUGAAUGUCUUACUAGACAGCUUAUUAGGUAUAGGUAAACGUUUAACAUAGCACUGUAGUUUGGGAGCAUGCAAUAUGGUUAUAGAUUAAUGUUAACAAAGUACUAAGAGCUAGGGCCUGGAUGGGAAAUAAGACAACACUCCCCUUGCCAUGGGCUAUUUGUCACACAAAAAUAAUGGCAACAUUUAUCGAGUGUUUACUGUGUGUCAGGUAUGUCAUUUAACCAUCAAAAGAACCUGUAAGGCAGGUACUGUAAUCAUCUUAAUUUUACAGAGGAGGGCCGUGAGACCCAGAGAGGUUACUUAACGUGAGUUCUCACUGGCAGAACUAAGACUCAAAUCCAGACAGUGGGGCUCCAGAGCCGGCAAUCCUAACCCCAGCACUGUAAGGUCCUUGGGUUGCCAUCUAAAAACUGGGACCUGCCUGGAGCCACAGUGGGGCACGUGGUCCUGUAUUAGCCGUCCGAAGCAGAUGGGAGUUGAGUGAGAGUAAGGUGCUCACCUGGACUGGCUCAUUUCUUCCCCAUUCUGGACAUCACCAAGUUUCCAGUUACUCUCUUAUCUUAAACCGCAGUUUGUCCUCUCAUAAGGUAAAUUACUUAGUGAUUUGAGAACCCACUCCCCCUUUCUCUCACCCCUUUAUUCUGUUCCCAUCCAGGCACUGACCUUUCUCCCAUCUGCCUGAUGGUUUGGAAUUUUUGAGCCAGGAAUUCUUAGAGCUUUGCUGAAAUGACACAGGAGUGGUUUGGGGCUUCAGAAUUAGCUUUGUCUUGUCCCACUGCACCCAAGGAGAGAAAAAUUUCUGAAGGGAAAAUCAUCUUUUAUUUGCCUACAGUCAGCUCUGUCACAGCAUGCCCUCAUCUUCGCAGAAUAACGUUAAUUUUAGGGUCCAGUCUUUCACAAUGAAGAUGAGAAAACUAAGACCCAGAGAUCUCCCAAAGGUAAUUUUCUUCCUCUGUUCCUGCAUUGUCUAGUAUGGUAGCCACGAGCCACAGAUGGCUGUUUAAAUUUAACAUGAGAGACUUCCCUGUUGGUGCAGUGGUUAAGAAUCCACCUGCCAAUGCAGGGGACACGGGUUCAAGCCCUUGUCCAGGAAGAUCCCACAUGCUGCAGAGCAACUAAGCCCGUGCACCAGAACUACUGAGCCUGUGCUCUAGAGCCCGCAAACCAUAACUACUGAGCCCACGAGCCACAACUACUGAGCCCGCAUGCCUAAAGCCCAUGCUCUGCAACAAGAGAAGCCACCGCAACAAGAAGCCCGUGCACUGCAACGAAAAGUAGUCCCUACUCACCACGACUAGAGAAAGCCAGCGCACAGCAACGAAGACCCAAUGCAGCCAAAAAUUAAUUAGUUAAAAAAAUAAAUAACAGAAAUCUAACUCCUCAGAUGCACUAGCCACACUGUAAGCACUUAAUAGCCACCUGUGGCUAAUGGCUACCACACCUGACAGUGCUGCUUUACGAAGCUGUUGCCUCAGGUUACUGAGCGGUGGGUGUGUCUGCUGGCCCUUCCCAGCCCCCCUGGCACUGGUCUUCAGAGUCCCUGCAACCUCCAAGUUUUCUCUGCAGGGUUGCCAGACCUUCCGAGUUAUCUCCAGAGUGGCACUCAUGAUUCACAGAGCAGCAGGAGUUUGAAGGCGCUGGAUUUCUGUGUAUCUGGGAAUAGCUAGCGAUCCUAAAUGGAACUGCAACUACACAGGAUGCAGUUGUGGGCAGAAGUACUGUAUCAUGGAGAAGUCCUCACUUUAUAAUUGGUCCUGCCUAAUCAGAGUCAGAGAGUAAGGUGGAAGUCUGGGCUCAACGCGUGGCAGAACAUCUUCUGUCUGUUGCUGGACCAAGUCGAUGGUUGCUAUGGGAACAGGACUAGAAGGAACAGGAAUCCUUUCUGCCAGCAUCGUCUUGUCUGGAGAGAAAGCCAUGUUUAAAUCGUUUCUCAGAGUUUUUACAUAUUUAAACAGAUGUAUGUAUGUAUGUAUAAAUAAAUAAUAAAAACUGAACAAAUGGACAACCUCGAUAA